GAUGAAGAACGUAGCGAAAUGCGAUAAGUAAUGUGAAUUGCAGAAUUCAGUGAAUCAUCGAAUCUUUGAACGCACAUUGCGCCCUCUGGUAUUCCGGGGGGCAUGCCUGUUCGAGCGUCAUUAUAACCACUCAAGCUCUCGCUUGGUAUUGGGGCUCGCGGUUCCGCGGCCCCUAAAAUCAGUGGCGGUGCCUGUCGGCUCUACGCGUAGUAAUACUCCUCGCGAUUGAGUCCGGUAGGUCUACUUGCCAGCAACCCCCAAUUUUUACAGGUUGACCUCGGAUCAGGUAGGGAUACUCGCUGAACUUAAGCAUAUCAAUAAGCGGAGGA
rnacentral:misc_RNA from 1 species